UGAGGAAUAUUGGUCAAUGGUCGAGAGACUGAACCAGCCAAGUCGCGUGAAGGAUGACUGCCCUAUGGGUUGUAAACUUCUUUUACAAGGGAAUAAAAUGAGAUACGUGUAUUUUAUUGCAUGUACCUUGGGAAUAAGCAUCGGCUAACUCCGUGCCAGCAGCCGCGGUAAUACGGAGGAUGCGAGCGUUAUCCGGAUUUAUUGGGUUUAAAGGGUGCGUAGGUGGGCUGUUAAGUCAGCGGUGAAAGUUUGUCGCUUAACGAUAAAAUUGCCGUUGAAACUGGUAGUCUUGAGUAUAGAUGAAGUAGGCGGAAUGCGUGGUGUAGCGGUGAAAUGCAUAGAGAUCACGCAGAAAUCCGAUGGCGAAGGCAGCUUACUAAGGUAUAACUGACACUGAAGCACGAAAGCGUGGGUAUCAAACAGG
rnacentral:rRNA from 1 species